GUCUACAGCCAUGCUACCCUGAACGUGCCCGAUCCUGUCUGAUCUUGGAAGCUAAGCAGGGUCGAGCCUGGUUAGUACUUGGAUGGGAGACCACCUAGGAAGACCAGGUGCUAUAGGCA
rnacentral:rRNA from 1 species